UACGUAGGGUGCAAGCGUUAAUCGGAAUUACUGGGCGUAAAGCGUGCGCAGGCGGUUGUGCAAGUCAGAUGUGAAAUCCCCGGGCUUAACCUGGGAACUGCAUUUGUGACUGCACGGCUAGAGUGUGUCAGAGGGGGGUAGAAUUCCACGUGUAGCAGUGAAAUGCGUAGAUAUCUGGAGGAACACCGGUGGCGAAGGCGGCAUCCUGGACCGAUACUGACGCUGAGGAGCGAAAGCCAGGGGAGCAAACGGG
rnacentral:rRNA from 1 species